UGGGGAAUAUUGCACAAUGGGCGAAAGUCUGAUGCAGCAACGCCGCGUGAGUGAUGAAGGCCUUCGGGUUGUAAAGCUCUGUCUUUUGGGACGAUAAUGACGGUACCAAAGGAGGAAGCCACGGCUAACUACGUGCCAGCAGCCGCGGUAAUACGUAGGUGGCAAGCGUUGUCCGGAUUUACUGGGCGUAAAGGAUGCGUAGGCGGAUUUUUAAGUGAGAUGUGAAAUACCCGGGCUUAACUUGGGUGCUGCAUUUCAAACUGGGAAUCUAGAGUGCGGGAGAGGAGAAUGGAAUUCCUAGUGUAGCGGUGAAAUGCGUAGAGAUUAGGAAGAACACCAGUGGCGAAGGCGAUUCUCUGGACCGUAACUGACGCUGAGGCAUGAAAGCGUGGGUAGCAAACAGGAUUAGAUACCCUGGUAGUCCACGCCGUAAACGAUGAGUACUAGGUGUAGGAGGUAUCGACCCCUUCUGUGCCGCAGUUAACACAAUCAAGUACUCCGCCUGGGAAGUACGAUCGCAAGAUUAAAACUCAAAGGAAUUGACGGGGUC
rnacentral:rRNA from 1 species